GACGAACGCUGGCGGCGUGCUUAACACAUGCAAGUCGAACGGAAAGGCCCUGCUUUUGUGGGGUGCUCGAGUGGCGAACGGGUGAGUAACACGUGAGUAACCUGCCCUUGACUUUGGGAUAACUUCAGGAAACUGGGGCUAAUACCGGAUAGGAGCUCCUGCUGCAUGGUGGGGGUUGGAAAGUUUCGGCGGUUGGGGAUGGACUCGCGGCUUAUCAGCUUGUUGGUGGGGUAGUGGCUUACCAAGGCUUUGACGGGUAGCCGGCCUGAGAGGGUGACCGGCCACAUUGGGACUGAGAUACGGCCCAGACUCCUACGGGAGGCAGCAGUGGGGAAUAUUGCACAAUGGGCGGAGGCCUGAUGCAGCAACGCCGCGUGCGGGAUGACGGCCUUCGGGUUGUAAACCGCUUUCGCCUGUGACGAAGCGUGAGUGACGGUAAUGGGUAAAGAAGCACCGGCUAACUACG
rnacentral:rRNA from 1 species